GUGACUUUUCACUUAUAAAACGUGAUAAUUGUGAAACGCAUAUACUGAAAGCUUGAAAUUAAUAACAGCGCAAGUGUAAAACAUUAUUGUUUAAAAUGGGACGUCUUGAACAAUACAGUUAUACUUUUUGAAAAAUGUGUUAACACUACAAAUUCAGACUAUUUGUAGAAUGUAAAAGUAUACUUUGCAUUUUAGCGAUAAAAUCGUGUGUUUGCAGAGCAAUAAAUUUGUUACGUAAAUUCGUUCGCUAAUAAAAUUAUUGAAAGUGACAUGUACUGGUACACGCAAGUGUGAUUAUUAUAAAAAUCACACGUAAAUGUGUCACAAGCUUAAGUGUGGCUGACCGCUACGGUUACAACCAGGCGAGAUGGAGCAGAGCAGGAUGCCUGCCACUCAUCACGUAAGCACAUUACCUAAAAACGGUCUCCUGAGCAAAAGAAAAAGAUUGGCGCAAUUGAGUAAUAUGUUUACUCAGAGAUGGCAAGCCCUCUCCCUCCCAAUCGCACCGUAGUCGGCCGAACAUGGCUAAUCUCGAACAGUUCGACGAUAUGUUUCUUUCUGAAGCUUACCUGAUUAUUUAUGUAGUGUUUACUUUAACAAUAAAAUUAUAAAGAGUAAAAGUGAAUCUGUGUGCGGUGUAUAAAAUUCGAUAUGCUUAUUUCAUUUGUUUUGUAAUCAAUGAACUCUUUUAUUUAUAGAAAUUGUCUAACAUAAAAAUGUUAUCGUUCGGCGAAGAGUAUAAUGAAAGAACAUCUGGUGUUAGAACGAGAACUAUCUUCAAUAGCCAGAACCAAUCUGUUAUAUCUUUCCGUGUUCAAUCUGAAUAUAAUGCAGGCGAAUGGAAAGAAAAGUCAGCGCAAAUAGUUUGCGACAUUCUGAAAGAGCGUGAUGUGAUUGUAGUCAGUAAAGGGGACCAACUGAUGGAUUUGAUAAGUGACGAUGUCAGGAAAUCUCAUCAAUAUUACAUACAUGUUAAUACAACGAAAGUGGAAUCACUUGUACCAAAACCAGAAUCCAAUAUAAUGCAUUAUGCCACAUGAGUAAGAAAGCUUCCGUUAGAAGUAGUUGAGGAUCUCGUUAGCAGUCCUGCAUUUAAAUUUGGAAAUCUGUGGUUUCUCAUUCCGUCUACCAAUAGCGCGCAAGUGACUGACGAUGUGCGUCGACUUACACCAAGCACCUUUGCCAAAUUGCCUCAUUUAUGUAACGAAGCAAUUUCUUCUCCCGCAAUGUACGAUGGCUGCGAAAUUUUAUGGUUCAACCCUGACAAAAGAACCGCGCUUUCUGUAUAAAAUGCUUAAAUCAAAUAAACUAUGCAAAUAAUUUAUAGAAUAAAUAAUUGUAGGAUAACAAUAAAAUUCUGUAGUCCUCAUAAUUGAAUAAAAAAAUAACAAAACCUUACUGUUCUGCAUAAUUAUAAUAUGUGGGAUUCACAACAGACACACAAAAAUAA